AUUGAACGCUGGCGGCAGGCCUAACACAUGCAAGUCGAGCGGAUGAAGGGAGCUUGCUCCUGGAUUCAGCGGCGGACGGGUGAGUAAUGCCUAGGAAUCUGCCUGGUAGUGGGGGAUAACGUCCGGAAACGGGCGCUAAUACCGCAUACGUCCUGAGGGAGAAAGUGGGGGAUCUUCGGACCUCACGCUAUCAGAUGAGCCUAGGUCGGAUUAGCUAGUUGGUGGGGUAAAGGCCUACCAAGGCGACGAUCCGUAACUGGUCUGAGAGGAUGAUCAGUCACACUGGACCUGGGAAACGGUCCGAACUCCAACGGGAGGCAGCGGUGGGAAAUAUUGGACAUGGGCGGAAGGCCUGUUCCAGCCAGGCGGCGUGUGUGAAGAAGUCCUUCGGAUUGUAAAGCACUUUAAGUUGGGAGGAAGGGCAGUAAGUUAAUACCUGGCGGUUUUAACGUUACCAACAGAAUAAGCACCGCUUAACUCCGU
rnacentral:rRNA from 1 species